AAGGAAAGCUGGCGGCAUGCCUAACACAUGCAAGUCGAACGAGACCUUCGGGUCUAGUGGCGCACGGGUGCGUAACGCGUGGGAACCUGCCCUUAGGUUCGGAAUAACUCCCCGAAAGGGGUGCUAAUACCGGAUAAUGUCUUCGGACCAAAGAUUUAUCGCCUUUGGAUGGGCCCGCGUUGGAUUAGCUAGUUGGUAGGGUAAAAGCCUACCAAGGCGACGAUCCAUAGCUGGUCUGAGAGGAUGAUCAGCCACACUGGGACUGAGACACGGCCCAGACUCCUACGGGAGGCAGCAGUGGGGAAUAUUGGACAAUGGGCGAAAGCCUGAUCCAGCAAUGCCGCGUGAGUGAUGAAGGCCUUAGGGUUGUAAAGCUCUUUUACCCGGGAUGAUAAUGACAGUACCGGGAGAAUAAGCGCCGGCUAACUCCGUG
rnacentral:rRNA from 1 species